GAUGAACGCUGGCGGCGUGCCUAAUACAUGCAAGUCGAGCGAACGGACGAGAAGCUUGCUUUUCUGAUGUUAGCGGCGGACGGGUGAGUAACACGUGGAUAACCUACCUAUAAGACUGGGAUAACUUCGGGAAACCGGAGCUAAUACCGGAUAAUAUUUUGAACCGCAUGGUUCAAAAGUGAAAGACGGUCUUGCUGUCACUUAUAGAUGGAUCCGCGCUGCAUUAGCUAGUUGGUAAGGUAACGGCUUACCAAGGCAACGAUGCAUAGCCGACCCGAGAGGGUGAUCGGCCACACUGGAACUGAGACACGGUCCAGACCCCUACGGGAGGCAGCAGUAGGGAAUCUUCCGCAAUGGGCGAAAGCCUGACGGAGCAACGCCGCGUGAGUGAUGAAGGUCUUCGGAUCGUAAAACUCUGUUAUUAGGGAAGAACAUAUGUGUAAGUAACUGUGCACAUCUUGACGGUACCUAAUCAGAAAGCCACGGCUAACUACGUG
rnacentral:rRNA from 1 species